rnacentral:siRNA from 1 species
CGGGGGACGGACUGGGAACGG